AUACUUACCUGGCGGGGAGAUUACCAUUGUGAUCAUGUAUCCAUUGCAUUCCUGAUGUGCAGACAUAUGCAAUUUCCCCACAUAUGGGAAAUUCGACUGUGUGAUUUGUAGUAGUGGGGGACUACGUUCACGCUCUCUCCUA
rnacentral:snRNA from 1 species